GGGGGUAUAGCUCAGUUGGUAGAGCGCCGCCUUUGCAAGGCGGAUGCCAGCGGUUCGAGUCCGCUUACCUCC
rnacentral:tRNA from 1 species